AUACGGAGGGUGCAAGCGUUACUCGGAAUCACUGGGCGUAAAGCGCGCGCAGGCGGCUAUUUAAGUUGGAUGUGAAAGCCUACGGCUCAACCGUAGAACUGCAUCCAAAACUAUUUAGCUAGAGUGUGGGAGAGGAAGAUGGAAUUAGUUGUGUAGGGGUAAAAUCCGUAGAGAUAACUAGGAAUACCAAAAGCGAAGGCAAUCUCCUGGAACACUACUGACGCUGAGGCGCGAAAGCGUGGGUAGCAAACGGGAUUAGAAACCCUAGUAGUCC
rnacentral:rRNA from 1 species